CGUCUCCAUCGGAUGCUGAUCCAGUGAGGGACAAUGAGGUCGUAUUGGAGUGUUCUCUGGUCAGAUCCACAGACCUCAGACUCUGUGCAGAGAACACCGUCCUCUGGCAGGAUGAAGGAGGCCGCGUUCUGUUGGAUAAAGGUGAUGGAUACGAGUUCUUACGACGGACCAACUGUGUGUCUUUACUGAAAGUGAAGCGUCAGAGCGACCGCAACAGGAAGUACACCUGUAAGGUGACGGACGACAAGAACAACUAGCUCAUAUCAGCCGACUACACACCCAUCUUCACAGAUCUGUCAAAUAUCACCAUAAUACCAACUGACAGCUUUCACUUCUACUUCAUCAUCAGUGCAGUGGUCAAAGUUCUGACACUGUUGGUUGUCACGGCUCUUUGCUUCAAAUGCUGGAAAUCUGCCAAAGAGACACAAAAUGCUGAGAACUCAGCCAGUUCCCACGUUUUAUACGAGAACUGUUUGUCCUCUGCUGGAAGACGUGGAGGCGGCGUGGCUUUUCUAUGACAAUGAGUCCAAAUGUAAGAACCACCCAGCAACUCGUACAGAGGCAAGCUGGUUGAAGAUGGAAGGAGUAAAGUUCACGGUUUAAAAAAACAAUACAAAUCAGACAAUUUCAUCAAACUUAUGUUGGUUAUUACUGCUGCAUAAACCAAUCAGCAAAAAUCAAAAAGUCAAAGAACAAUAACUUCAGUCCAUGUGAACUUUAAGUGUUUCAGUGAGUUUUCACUUC